AAUCAUAACCACCACCCUCUUACCUAAAAACUAAAAGCUAUAUUCUUCAAAUUUAAAGGAUUUGGCGGUAAUUUAGUCCAGUUAGAGGAACCUGUUCGAUAAACGAUAAACCUCGCAAAAUCUUUCCUCUUCCUUAAAGCUUGUAUACCGUCAUUAUUAGAUAACUCCCAGAAGAAAAGUUAUUUCAAUAAAUAAUUUAUUUAUUUAAUAUAUUAGAUCAAGGUGCAGCCUAUGAAAAGGUCAGAAUGGGUUACAAUAAAAUUUACUUAUAACGGAAGGAAAAUUGAAAUAUUUUCCCAAAGGAGGAUUUAAUAGUAAAGUUGGUUUAACAAGCCUUCUUGAUAAAGGAUCUAAAUUGAGUACAUAUCGCCCGUCGCUUUCGUCUACAAACGAAAUAAGUCGUAACAUA
rnacentral:rRNA from 1 species